rnacentral:rRNA from 1 species
UAGGGAAUCUUCGGCAAUGGACGAAAGUCUGACCGAGCAACGCCGCGUGAGUGAAGAAGGUUUUCGGAUCGUAAAACUCUGUUGUUAGAGAAGAACAAUGACGUUAGUAACUGAACGUCCCCUGACGGUAUCUAACCAGAAAGCCACGGCUAACUACGUGCCAGCAGCCGCGGUAAUACGUAGGUGGCAAGCGUUGUCCGGAUUUAUUGGGCGUAAAGCGAGCGCAGGCGGUUUCUUAAGUCUGAUGUGAAAGCCCCCGGCUCAACCGGGGAGGGUCAUUGGAAACUGGGAGACUUGAGUGCAGAAGAGGAGAGUGGAAUUCCAUGUGUAGCGGUGAAAUGCGUAGAUAUAUGGAGGAACACCAGUGGCGAAGGCGGCUCUCUGGUCUGUAACUGACGAUGAGGAUCGAAAGCGUGGGGAGCAAACAGG